rnacentral:lncRNA from 1 species
GGUUAACAUAAAAAAAAAAUGUUUGGGCAAUAAAAAACUGCCAGAUUGAAAGGUCAGGCCUAUGAUAAAUAAGAGAAAUGAGCAGGUGUGAGAGAGAAACUGUCACUUCGGGUUAAUUAAAGUAGAAACACACACACAUACGCACACACACAAACAAAACUCACCCUGAGGACAUGAGGGAAUCCCAGCAUGACUGUUUGAGGAGAGACUGAAAACAACAGUGGAAAAAGAAAGUCCCUCAGUACUAAUAGUCCUACUAAGAAUGGAAAGGAGGGACUGUGCACUCUUAGAAAUGAAGCAUGGGUGUAGUUAAAUUUAAAUACUAGUUUCAUGGUAAAAUUACUAAAAGUAUUAUGUUUAUAUAGUAAAAAUAAGCAAGUUUCAUUGCAUUAAAUUAAUAGUAUAAUAUUUCAAGUCUACAAAAUGUCACAGAUUUAAACCAACUUAACCAGAUCAUUUUAAACCUACUAGCAGUUGAAGAUUGUCCCAAAGCGCUUUCCGUACUUGCAAUUUCGCACAUGCACAGGAGGAAGCAAGAAGCAUCCAUUUUCCAUCUGCCCUUGGCCAACUUUUUUAAAUCCGUUAUCAUCCAUAAAUUAUUUGGCUCUGAAUGUGGAGGUGCAAACAGUGUCCUGAAAGUAAAUCUACAAGGACUACAGAACAAGUAAUAUUGAAAAAGAAGAAAAACCAACAGGUAAUCAAAAGUAAAAUGGAAGGAACCUUUGCCUAUAGAAGACAGGAAGUUGUUGGAAGAUAUGCCCUUCAUAGCAGAGUUCAAAAACAGAUGGCCAGGCCUGUUUUCUGAGAGCCAGGUAAAGUAUUAUUCAUCAUCUCUAUUUAAUUUAAAUACGUGGAAUUAAUGUCUGAAUACUGUAUUUGGGUAUAAAACAAAUGAGCACAUAUUCAAUUGACAAAGGUUUGGAGGCAAUGUGUUAAGAAUCCAUGCAUGUGGUUGUUCUACUCUAUAUUACAAUGCACAUUACACAUCCAUAUAAAUUGGUUACAGAUACAUUGAACCACCAACUAAAAACAUUUAGCCAACAGCAAACUCAUGUUCCCUCUACACCAGGGGUGUCACACUCAAGUUUCAGAGAGGGCAAAAAUUAAGAAAUGGUACUGCGUGCCAAACAGUCUCAUAGUGCUGUCUUAAUAAUAUUAUUAUGAACACGCCAGCUCCACUUUUAAGGCAAACUGGAUAUAAUUGUACCACGGCCAGAUGUAGCCCACAGAGUUUGAGUUUGACAUGCCUUAUCUACACCAUAUGUGAUCAUUUAAAUAUAUUUGUUUUAACUUAAGAGACUCAUAGUGAAUUUGUGUUUUAAUACAGGUAAAUGCAGAAUUCACC